rnacentral:misc_RNA from 1 species
CCCUUCUCCUUUUUCGCCACUGGCUCCGCUUUCACUUCAAUCAAAUUUUCCACUUCCUCAGUAGCCACUCCUCCACUAGCUUCCGUAUCAAAAGAUUGCUCUAUUGCUUUCUCCUCUUUGACUUCUUUAAUUAUCCCUUUUCUCUCAUUAACAUUACUAUCGCUCCCAAGACUAAGCAGACUAUCACCAUUAUUUGUGAUAACCCUAUUCAAUUCAGUAGUCACCGCCAAAUCAACAUUGCUAAGAACCUGAUC